UCUGGCAGGAGGAGAAGAUAUUUUUUCUCAAUGAAGAAAAGAUACAAACUGAGAGAACUAGACAACAAAGUGCCCAGUUACACUGCCAACCAGAGGAGCUCAAGUCACAGUGCAGCAGUUUGGCACCACAGAGCCUGGGAUACACUGUGGGCCACUAAACUUGAGAGCAGGAGUCUAGGCAUUGUCUGGAGGAAGUUCUGAGCACGAAGGACAUGACCCGUAUGAGCUGAGGAUCUGUCAACAAGCGGUAGACUGCGUGAUCUCAACAGUGACCAGAAUAGAAGACCGCCAAACUACUGGUAAAAGCAGCACCAGUAUGAACAGAGUAAACUCACUUUGUAUGUUUCUACUCUGUGCAGGGAUAGCUAAGACUCAAGGCCCACCUAUAGACAUGACAGGUUGGGAUUAAGAGGGGCAGUUGGACUUUAACAAAACUCUCUGAAAACUUGUGAAUGAGAGCUUGAGCUGAUCUGCUUGUCAAGGUAUUUGAUUCUUUGUGAGUACGACAGCAGCCUCAUACUAGCCAGCCCAGGACCAUGGAAACUACCUUUGAAAAAACAACAGUAAUAACAAAUAACGACUAGCCUGUCACCCAUCUCUGCCCUGUGCCAGGUUUCAGGCGUGAAGUGUAAUUUGUCUUUUUGCUCCGAUUUCGCACCAUGCUCAGUCUGCCAGGGGGGAGAGGCCCGUGUGACCCUCACAGUCCCCCGAGCGAGCGCCUCCUGUCUCACAGUGUUCAAGAGCGGAGGAGGAGGGCAACAAGUCUGCCACUCCUGUGGGAAAGGCCAGCCUGAGUGCAGCAGGAACUUCUGGCUGAUUGUGAGCGGAGACAACGUUACCCUGGUCAUUCGGAAUUUCACCAGCUCUGUCCAGGGGCAAUACCACAUUGAGCAUGGAAGCAGCUCUAUCGCUCUGAAUCUGAAAGAACAAACCGACUGCCCCAGGAAGACGAGCACAGCGCCAGGCGAGCUGAAAGGUAAGAGCCGACAUGUGAACUCCUGCACCGCUGGAUUACUGCCUCUCAGGCCGGCGCACCAACAGCUAACAUCUGAAAACGAUAAGAAGGGUAAUCCGUGCGUUCUGAUAGUUCGUCCGAGAGGGUCGUUCAUUUGUGAUCUUGCAAGGAACUGGCAACGACUUUUGAAAAGAAUCGUGUGUUAUGUGUUAUUGUCUGGUUGUUUUGACUGUCCUUAGAUUUUAUUAUUUUCGCAGGCUCGUGCGCCGAUCACAAGUACUGUAAGUGUAAAUUCAUGUUCCCUCGAUUCAAAUAUGAACUCUGGAGCGAUCGCUCCACCUUGUGGUGUUAAGAGGUCAUUUUUUUCUUAUUUGGUCAUUUUUUCUUAUUUUCGCAACCGUUUUCUCUAUAGGGAAAGUCAGAAUCUAUUUUCAUUAGUUUUAGCUGAAAUGAAAUCAUAUUUAGCGUUAAGUACUUCUUAUUAGUAGCAGAAAGUCUAGAUUUUAUCUUCUUGGCCGAUAUGAACUAUAGUUUACUUACUAGUUUUGAAGGCUGAGCAGCUGAGGUCUGAACACACAGCAACUUGUUAGUAGCGGUAAGCACAGCAUUACAAACCUGGAAAAAAACAACGUCAGGCAGUAGCUUUUCAGCACCAGACUGAGAGCAAUGUGUGCAGAUACACAGAGUUUUACAAAGAGGAAAAAAACACCUUCACAACACUGUGAACUUCCAUCUAUCCAUUUUUACUCCGCAUUUCCCGGUGAGGGUCGCGGUCACUGUGAAGGGGAGGUUUAAAUAUCUAGACAUAUACGGAUUCUUAGGUGUUUUUGAUUUCUCUGAACAUGGACCUGAUAGAAUGUGGAAAUCACCACACAGAUUAUUUUCUAAAUUAAUAAUAAAAUACAAUUUGGAAAAGCUCUGUGGAAACCUCGUUUAGACCCAAAAUAUGUGCUAGGGAAAUCAAUUCACCUCUACAUGUAGAAUUAAAUCAUGAUGUUGGGACUUGAUUUACCCAAUUCAAUUUCAGGUUCUCUGACAUUUGCGCUUCAUAUAGUACAUCUACAGCAGUCUCUUAAGAACCCUUAAUCUUCCAGUCCAUCUGGGUAAUGGAAUUAAUACCUCUGACAUUUCAUGUAACCAGUUUAGUUGUCUUACUCAUCGUGCAGGCAAAGGCUAUCCAACACUGGUAGAUUACUCAACGCUGAUAAUCCUGCCAGGCGGAUAUUUUACUGUGCGUGUGCCUUCCGUGAGGUUUACGAUGAUCCCAGUAGAUCUUUAAACCACAGUGUUAGAAUGUGGGGAACGAGGCUGUGAAGAAACAAUAAAAUAAAAGUGAAAGGAAUGGAAAGGAAGAAAAAAACACCCAAGUGCUCCGAGUGCUCCCUCUCCACUUCCGGCUUUUGUUCUCCUGUGCUACAGUAUAUCAGCUGCUGACUUUCCUCUCUUUCUCAUACCUGAAAAAGGCUCCACAGCUGAAACGUUGUGUUUCUCUUCUUCUCUUUUCAGCAUGGAAUAAACCUUAUCGCUAUAGUAUACUUUACGCUAUAAAUUGUUGCAUUUUGUUGGGUUCUAAUUGCUUCCCACACUGGGUGAAGAAAGUGGAAAGUCAAAAAUACACUUUCCACUGCAUAGCUCCUUCUAGUUCAGUCCCACCCAUUUGAUAUUUCACUUUUUUUUCUUUUUCUGCCUAUCUGUAAUAGUUGUGUUUGUCCAUGUGAUCACAUUAGAUUGAAUUUGCCAGGAAUCUCCCCUGAUCUGAACUCUGUUUAGUGUUUUGCCUUGCUUGUGUGGUGUGAAAAAUCAGAGGUCUCUGUCCCCUGUCCUAACCGGUACCUGUACACUGACAGAUACUGUUGCUGCUGCCCCGACUGCUCCAGGGUGGGCCGUGGUCUUGGUGCCUUUUGUGAUCCUGAUGCAAGUGGGCUGGCUGUAGAGUGAGACUGCACAGGAGUCUGGGUGGAGGGACAGUGUCUGCAUGACAGAUCAUCUGUGCUGGACAUUACUGGGACAAGAUGAAGGACCCUCAUUCUCUGCUUCAUGCAAUGGCUUUGGUUUGCAUAUGGAUUUCUAGUAGUGCCUUGUAUUCUUAUUAGGCUAUCCUGAACUCUGUAAAGUGCUAGUAGUUCAGGUGGGUAGCUGCGUCAGCAUGCGUAGGCUGCAAAGGA